GGGUCGGUGGCGGAAUGGUAUACGCGUACGCUUGAGGUGCGUAUGGGGAAACCCGUGGAGGUUCAAGUCCUCUCCGACCCA
rnacentral:tRNA from 1 species